rnacentral:tRNA from 1 species
GGCAGCAUGGUAUAGUGGUUUGAAUGUUGGACUAUGACUCUGGAGACCAGGGUUUGAAUCCCUGCUUGGCCA